GUUGACUAGACCAGUGGUUCUCAAAUGGGGGUACGUGGAGGUACUGCAGGGGGUACGUGAAGCUUUUCAAAAUAUCUUUAAAAAAUCAGUAGGCUCCUCAUAAUAAGUCUUGGGAAAAAUUAUUUUGUAAAAAGUUCGAUAAAAUAUAAAUGUGUGUUCAUGCACUGAAUUUUAUAUUCAGUAUUUAGUUUCAAUAUCCUUUAAAAUAAAACGGUUUGACUGGUUUUAUACCUUCCUGGUGGUCACCGUCUUCUGUUUUUCUUUUUUGUUUAACCAUGCAAUGUUUGCAAUAUGGAUGUAUUUGUCAGGUUCACUGAUAUAAGUUGUUUGGCUUUAAUAAAUCAGACAGUGAUUUUACA